UACGAAGGGGGCUAGCGUUGUUCGGAAUUACUGGGCGUAAAGCGCGUGUAGGCGGGCCUUUAAGUCAGGGGUGAAAUGCCAAGGCUCAACCUUGGAACUGCCUUUGAUACUGGAGACCUUGAGUCCGGGAGAGGUGAGUGGAAUUGCGAGUGUAGAGGUGAAAUUCGUAGAUAUUCGCAAGAACACCAGUGGCGAAGGCGGCUCACUGGCCCGGAACUGACGCUGAGACGCGAAAGCGUGGGGAGCAAACAGG
rnacentral:rRNA from 1 species